UUUCCGUAGGUGAACCUGCGGAAGGAUCAUUAAAGUUAUAGUCCCCCGGCCCCUCCGGGCUGGGGUCUUCUAUACCACCCUUUGUUUAUUACACCUUUGUUGCCUUGGCAGGCCUGCCCUCGGGCUGCUGGCUCCGGCCGGUUCGUGCCUGCCAGAGGACCUAAACUCUGUUUGUAUAUGAAGUCUGAGUACUAUAUAAUAGUUAAAACUUUCAACAACGGAUCUCUUGGUUCUG
rnacentral:misc_RNA from 1 species